UUAAGGCGGCGAGCUGGCAGAAUCGUUAGCACGCCUGGUGAAAUGUUUAGCAGUAUUUCGUCUGCCGCUAUGUUCUGAGUUCAAAUUCAGAAAUGAUCGCAUCAUGGGGCACUUCAAUCUCAUUUUUGAUUGGUCAUUGGUUUAGCCAAUCAACUUAAAGAAAUAAAAUGAACGGUUUGUUGAAAUGAUCCGGACGAGAGAUCAAAGAUUUUUGUAGCUUAGGAUCAAGUUUUACUUGGCUAGCAAGGAGCUGUCCUGACAUCAUGUCAAACCCAUGCCAGCAUGGAAAGCGGACGUCAAACGACGAGGAUGUCUCCUCAUACAUCUAGAAAUACUUUGCAGGUUUGUAUGUUGUUUUAUUAUUCUAUGCUUUUGUAUUCGAUUUAAGCCAUUCCUAAAUAACAACACCAACACUAAUGUCACUUUAUACAAGUACACAAACGCACACACAACAUAACAAGAAGCAAAUUUAACUUUAUAAACCCAAACAAUACAGGCAAAUGGCUUUUCUGCAAUAAAGUUAAUAUUGUAUCAAUAUUGAAGGAAAUAAAGAAUAUUCUAUCACGU